rnacentral:miRNA from 1 species
AGGGAAGGGUCUCAGGACCUGAGGUCUCACCCAGAUCCAGUGUGGCCACACCUCUUCUCACCUCAG